AGCAGCCGCGGUAAUUCCAGCUCCAAUAGCGUAUAUUAAAGUUGUUGCAGUUAAAAAGCUCGUAGUUGAAUUUCGGGAUUGACGUGAUGGUCGUGCCUUAAGGGGUAUGAACUGUCGCAGUUGAUUUCUCACCUUCUGGAGAAGCAUGAUGUCCUUAAUUGGGUGUCAUGUGGAACCAGGACCUUUACCUUGAAAAAAUUAGAGUGUUUAAAGCAGGCAUUUUGCUCGAAUACAUUAGCAUGGAAUAAUAGAAUAGGACGGCAUGGUUCUAUUUUGUGGUUUCUAGGAUCACCGUAAUGAUUAAUAGGGAUAGUUGGGGGCAUUAGUAUUCAAUUGUCAGAGGUGAAAUUCUUGGAUUUAUUGAAGACUAACUACUGCGAAAGCAUUUGCCAAGGAUGUUUUC
rnacentral:rRNA from 1 species